rnacentral:rRNA from 1 species
UGGGGAAUUUUUGACAAUGGGGGAAACCCUGAUCCAGCCAUCCCGCGUGUGCGAUGAAGGCCUUCGGGUUGUAAAGCACUUUUGGCAGGAAAGAAACGUCAUGGGUUAAUACCCCGUGAAACUGACGGUACCUGCAGAAUAAGCACCGGCUAACUACGUGCCAGCAGCCGCGGUAAUACGUAGGGUGCAAGCGUUAAUCGGAAUUACUGGGCGUAAAGCGUGCGCAGGCGGUUCGGAAAGCAAGAUGUGAAAUCCCAGAGCUCAACCUUAGAACUGCAUUUUUAGCCACCGGGCUGGAGGGUGUCGGAGGGGGGUGGAAUUUCGCGUGUAGGAGUGAAAUGCGUAGAUAUUCGGAGGAACAACGAUGGCGAAGGCAGCCUCCUGGGAUAACACUGACGCUCAUGCAGGAAAGCGUGGGGAGCCAACCGG